GGGGGAUAACUAUUGGAAACGAUAGCUAAUACCGCAUAACAAUGGAUGACACAUGUCAUUUAUUUGAAAGGGGCAAUUGCUCCACUACAAGAUGGACCUGCGUUGUAUUAGCUAGUAGGUGAGGUAAUGGCUCACCUAGGCGACGAUACAUAGCCGACCUGAGAGGGUGAUCGGCCACACUGGGACUGAGACACGGCCCAGACUCCUACGGGAGGCAGCAGUAGGGAAUCUUCGGCAAUGGGGGCAACCCUGACCGAGCAACGCCGCGUGAGUGAAGAAGGUUUUCGGAUCGUAAAGCUCUGUUGUAAGUCAAGAACGGGUGUGAGAGUGGAAAGUUCACACUGUGACGGUAGCUUACCAGAAAGGGACGGCUAACUACGUGCCAGCAGCCGCGGUAAUACGUAGGUCCCGAGCGUUGUCCGGAUUUAUUGGGCGUAAAGCGAGCGCAGGCGGUUUGAUAAGUCUGAAGUUAAAGGCUGUGGCUCAACCAUAGUUCGCUUUGGAAACUGUCAAACUUGAGUGCAGAAGGGGAGAGUGGAAUUCCAUGUGUAGCGGUGAAAUGCGUAGAUAUAUGGAGGAACACCGGUGGCGAAAGCGGCUCUCUGGUCUGUAACUGACGCUGAGGCUCGAAAGCGUGGGGAGCGAACAGGAUUAGAUACCCUGGUAGUCCACGCCGUAAACGAUGAGUGCUAGGUGUUGGAUCCUUUCCGGGAUUCAGUGCCGAAGCUAACGCAUUAAGCACUCCGCCUGGGGAGUACGACC
rnacentral:rRNA from 1 species